GGGUUGUGAGGUUAAGCGACUAAGCGUACACGGUGGAUGCCCUGGCAGUCAGAGGCGAUGAAGGGCGUGCUAAUCUGCGAUAAGCGCCGGUAAGGUGAUAUGAACCGUUAUAACCGGCGAUACCCGAAUGGGGAAACCCAGUGUGACUCGUCACACUAUCAUUAACUGAAUCCAUAGGUUAAUGAGGCGAACCGGGGGAACUGAAACAUCUAAGUACCCCGAGGAAAAGAAAUCAACCGAGAUUCCCCCAGUAGCGGCGAGCGAACGGGGAGGAGCCCAGAGCCUGAAUCAGCAUGUGUGUUAGUGGAAGCGUCUGGAAAGGCGCGCGAUACAGGGUGACAGCCCCGUACACAAAAGCGCAUGUGCUGUGAGCUCGAUGAGUAGGGCGGGACACGUGGUAUCCUGUCUGAAUAUGGGGGGACCAUCCUCCAAGGCUAAAUACUCCUGACUGACCGAUAGUGAACCAGUACCGUGAGGGAAAGGCGAAAAGAACCCCGGCGAGGGGAGUGAAAAAGAACCUGAAACCGUGU
rnacentral:rRNA from 21 species